rnacentral:rRNA from 1 species
AGGAUGAACGCUGGCGGUGUGCCUAAUACAUGCAAGUCGUACGGAAAGGCCCUUCGGGGUACUCGAGUGGCGGACGGCUGAGUAACGCGUGGGAACGUACCCUAAAGUGAGGAAUAACUGCCCGAAAGGGUGGCUAAUGCCGCAUAUGCUCUUCGGAGUAAAGCUUCGGCGCUUUGGGAGCGGCCCGCGUCCGAUUAGCUAGUUGGUAAGGUAAUGGCUUACCAAGGCGACGAUCGGUAGCUGGUCUGAGAGGAUGAUCAGCCAGACUGGGACUGAGAACGGCCCAGACUCCUACGGGAGGCAGCAGUAGGGAAUUUUCCACAAUGGGCGCAAGCCUGAUGGAGCAACACCGCGUGCAGGACGAAGGCCCUCGGGUCGUAAACUGUCUUUUAUUUGUGACGAUUAUGACGGUAGCAGAUGAAUAAGGAUCGGCUAACUCCGUGCCAGCAGCCGC